UCAGAAUGAACGCUGGCGGCGUGCUUAACACAUGCAAGUCGAACGGUAACAGGAGGAAGCUUGCUUUCUUGCUGACGAGUGGCGCACGGGUGAGUAAUGCAUAGGUAACGUGCCCCUUAGUCUGGGAUAGCCACUGGAAACGGUGAUUAAUACUAGAUACGCCUUCUCUCUUAAUGAGAGUCGGGAAAGUUUUUCGCUAAGGGAUCGGCCUAUGUUGUAUCAGGUAGUUGGUGAGGUAAUGGCUCACCAAGCCUAUGACACAUAGCGGGUCUGAGAGGAUGAUCCGCCACACUGGUACUGAGACACGGACCAGACUCCUACGGGAGGCAGCAGUGGGGAAUAUUGCACAAUGGACGAAAGUCUGAUGCAGCAACGCCGCGUGGAGGAUGACACAUUUCGGUGCGUAAACUCCUUUUAUAUGAGAAGAUAAUGACGGUAUCAUAUGAAAUAAGCACCGGCUAACUCCGUGCCCAGCAGCCGCGGUAAUACGGAGGGUGCAAGCGUUAUUCGGAAUCACUGGGCGUAAAGGGUGCGUAGGCGGUUUGGAAAGUCAGGUGUGAAAGCCAACAGCUUAACUGUUGAACUGCACUUGAAACUUCCAGACUAGAAUACUGAAGGGGCAGAUGGAAUUAGUGGUGUAGGGGUAAAAUCCGUAGAUAUCACUAGGAAUACCGAAAGCGAAAGCGAUCUGCUGGGAAGUUAUUGACGCUGAGGCACGAAAGCGUGGGGAGCAAACGGGAUUAGAUACCCCGGUAGUCCACGCCCUAAACGAUGAAUGCUAGUCGUCGGAAAGCUCGUCUUUUCGGUGAUG
rnacentral:rRNA from 1 species